GUCUAUGGCCAUACCGCCCUGAAUGCACCCGAUCUCAUCUGAUCUCAGAAGCUAAGCAGGGGCAGACCUGGUUACUACUUAGAUGGAAGAAAAAUAAAGAGAUUGAUA
rnacentral:rRNA from 1 species